rnacentral:rRNA from 1 species
CCUGACUGCUAUCGGAUUGAUACUAAGCCAUGCGAGUCUUUGCAGUAAUGCAAGGCAUACGGCUCAGUAACACGUAGUCAACUUACCCUAUGGACGAGGAUAAUCUCGGGAAACUGAGCAUAAUACUCGAUAGAUCAUAAUGCCUGGAAUGGUUUAUGGUUGAAAUGAUUCGUCGCCAUAGGAUAGGACCGCGGCCUAUCAGCUUGUUGGUGAGGUAAUGGCCCACCAAGGCGAUUACAGGUACGGGCUCUGAGAGGAGAAGCCCGGAGAUGGGUACUGAGACAAGGACCCAGGCCCUAUGGGGCGCAGCAGGCGAGAAAACUUUGCAAUGUGCGAAAGCACGACAAGGUUAAUCCGAGUGAUUUCUGCUAAAGAAAUCUUUUGCAAGUCAUAAAACCACUAGUGAAUAAGGGGUGGGCAAGUUCUGGUGUCAGCCGCCGCGGUAAAACCAGCACCUCAAGUGGUCAGGAGGAUUAUUGGGCCUAAAGCAUCCGUAGCCGGCUCUGUAAGUUUUCGGUUAAAUCCAUGUGCUCAACGCAUGGGCUGUCGAAAAUACUGCAUAGCUAGGGAGUGGGAGAGGUAGACGGUACUCGGUAGGAAGGGGUAAAAUCCUUUGAUCUAUCGAUGACCACCUGUGGCGAAGGCGGUCUACCAGAACACGUUCGACGGUGAGGGAUGAAAGCUGGGGGAGCAAACCGGAUUAGAUACCCGGGUAGUCCCAGCUGUAAGCGAUGCAGACUCGAUGAUGCAUUGGCAUAUAGCCAGUGCAGUGUCGCAGGGAAGCCGUUAAGUCUGCCGCCUGGGAAGUACGUACGCAAGUAUGAAACUUAAAGGAAUUGGCGGGGGAGCACCACAAGGGGUGAAGCCUGCGGUUC